rnacentral:rRNA from 1 species
AGUGAACGCUGGCGGUAGGCCUAACACAUGCAAGUCGAACGGCAGCACAGUAAGAGCUUGCUCUUACGGGUGGCGAGUGGCGGACGGGUGAGGAAUACAUCGGAAUCUACUUUUUCGUGGGGGAUAACGUAGGGAAACUUACGCUAAUACCGCAUACGACCUACGGGUGAAAGCAGGGGAUCUUCGGACCUUGCGCGAUUGAAUGAGCCGAUGUCGGAUUAGCUAGUUGGCGGGGUAAAGGCCCACCAAGGCGACGAUCCGUAGCUGGUCUGAGAGGAUGAUCAGCCACCCUGGAACUGAGACACGGUCCAGACCCCUACGGGAGGCAGCAGUGGGGAAUAUUGGACAAUGGGCGCAAGCCUGAUCCAGCCAUACCGCGUGGGUGAAGAAGGCCUUCGGGUUGUAAAGCCCUUUUGUUGGGAAAGAAAAGCAGCAGGUUAAUACCCCGCUGUUCUGACGGUACCCAAAGAAUAAGCACCGGCUAACUUCGUG